GAUGAACGCUGGCGGCGUGCCUAAUACAUGCAAGUCGAGCGAAUGGAUUAAGAGCUUGCUCUUAUGAAGUUAGCGGCGGACGGGUGAGUAACACGUGGGUAACCUGCCCAUAAGACUGGGAUAACUCCGGGAAACCGGGGCUAAUACCGGAUAACAUUUUGAACCGCAUGGGUCGAAAUUGAAAGGCGGCUUCGGCUGUCACUUAUGGCUGGACCCGCGUCGCAUUAGCUAGUUGGUGAGGUAACGGCUAACCAAGGCAACGAUGCGUAGCCGACCUGAGAGGGUGAUCGGCCACACUGGGACUGAGACACGGCCCAGACUCCUACGGGAGGCAGCAGUAGGGAAUCUUCCGCAAUGGACGAAAGUCUGACGGAGCAACGCCGCGUGAGUGAUGAAGGCUUUCGGGUCGUAAAACUCUGUUGUUAGGGAAGAACAAGUGCUAGUUGAAUAAGCUGGCACCUUGACGGUACCUAACCAGAAAGCCACGGCUAACUACGUGCCAGCCGCCGCGGUAA
rnacentral:rRNA from 1 species